GAUGAACGCUGGCGGCGUGCCUAAUACAUGCAAGUCGAGCGAACGGACGAGAAGCUUGCUUCUCUGAUGUUAGCGGCGGACGGGUGAGUAACACGUGGAUAACCUACCUAUAAGACUGGGAUAACUUCGGGAAACCGGAGCUAAUACCGGAUGAUAUUUUGAACCGCAUGGUUCAAUAGUGAAAGACGGUUUUGCUGUCACUUAUAGAUGGAUCCGCGCUGCAUUAGCUAGUUGGUAAGGUAACGGCUUACCAAGGCAACGAUGCGUAGCCGACCUGAGAGGGUGAUCGGCCACACUGGAACUGAGACACGGUCCAGACUCCUACGGGAGGCAGCAGUAGGGAAUCUUCCGCAAUGGGCGAAAGCCUGACGGAGCAACGCCGCGUGAGUGAUGAAGGUCUUCGGAUCGUAAAACUCUGUUAUUAGGGAAGAACAUAUGUGUAAGUAACUAUGCACAUCUUGACGGUACCUAAUCAGAAAGCCACGGCUAACUACGUG
rnacentral:rRNA from 1 species